ensembl:lncRNA
AUGGGAUCACGUCAGCAUCGUGGGGGAGCCUCAGGAAAGCUGGAGGAGAGUGCCAACCCCGCCACACCCCUCUCAUUAACAGCACCUCUGUUCUCUCUGUGGAGCUGUCCAGUCAGUCAAGACCCUCUGUUUCCGUUGGCCGAGCUGCCUCCUUUAGAAGCUGCUCCAAGAGGAAGCAAGAUCUUUAUAAGAACAGCAUGGUCAGAAGCCAACACCAUCGGACAACUUACAAGGGGUCUCCCAAGAUCCCUCCAACUUUUGCUCAGACUUGGGCCCACGGGAGGGGAGACGUCUUGGAUUGGCUGUGCACCUGCCGGUCAGCCCACCAGAUGCGAACGUGGCCAGGGCGGGGGGCGCGGAGGAAUUGCACCCUUGGCUAUAACUCAACAGGAACGUUCCAUCCAGCAAUUUUGUAGGUUUUUUGUUCUUAGGAAACCUGAGAAGUCAUCUCACUUUGUGUGUUUUGGUAAAGGAACCAAGUUUAAUGUUAAGCCGUGUGUGUAUGUGCUCAUUGUUCCGGGGUGACGUUUCUCUGCGGCAGGUGGAUUUCCCUGGGGGUGGUUGCAGUAGAGACCACCCCCAGGUAUCAGCAGUCCCGUCACUGUAGACACAAACAGGACAUCUACUUCAGAUUUCUCCCUGGGUUAUGCUCAUCCCCACUCAAAGCAAUAUCUGACUGACACCUUUCUCCAAACUCCACACCACAGACACACACCCACCUGCACACACGCACACACCUGAUUUUUCUGAUCACUCAUUUACUUUUUGGUGGGUUUCAUUGUCUAAAUGCUCCCAAUUAUUCCCUACAUGUAAUAAAGCUCCAAUCCACUCCUUUAGCCCCCA